GUAUAAUUCUGGUGCCAUGAAUUCCGGAGUGCCUAUGACACUAUGUGCUGAUUGAGAACCCCGGAGGAUUGCUGCAAGGCCUAGAUCACCAAUCUUGACCUGUCCAAGAUGGCCAUUGACAAAGAUGUUGUCACAUUUCAGGUCUCUAUGAAUUACUGGAGGAUCAUGGCCAUGUAGAUACACAAGGCCUUGUAAGAUUUGACAAGCCCAGUUCUUAAUGGCUCGAAUAUCCACUCGUUUGUAUUUUUUCCGGUAUUCUCUCAGAGUUCCUGAAGUGAACAUUUCAGUGAUGAAGUUGAACGUCUUUUGAUGAACAUCAAUCCAAGAGGUGUAGAAUUGGAUUAUAGAGUCAUGGUUGAGGGUGCUGAGAAGGUGAACCUCAGAGUAUAGCCUCUGCAAGUUCUCAGGCGAGCGAAGCAACUCAUUGAGUUUUACCUGGUUCCAUGCCACCUCCAUUCCUAGGACUUCAUCAAUUGCCUUGUAUACUGUUUUCAUUGCUCCUUUUCCAAGAAUUUGUUCAAACCGACCAUACCGGCCCGUAGGAUCGGUUUCAACAUAGCCAUGGUCGGCCUCUGUUUCCUGCAACCCAACUUGAUUUUUGUACAUGUUUUUUAUAUGGGAAAGCUUCCGUGAAAAGCUUUAUUUUGAAAAAUCUUGAGAAAUUUUGAACUCUACUUUCUGUGAUGGUAGAUAAGUACAAGUUAUAGAGAGAGAGAGAGAGAGAGA
rnacentral:misc_RNA from 1 species